GAUGAAGAACGUAGCGAAAUGCGAUAAGUAAUGUGAAUUGCAGAAUUCAGUGAAUCAUCGAAUCUUUGAACGCACCUUGCGCCCUUUGGCCAUUCCGAAGGGCAUGCCUGUUUGAGUAUCAUGAACACCUCAACUCUCAUGGCUCGCCAUGAUGAGCUUGGAUUUGGGGGUCUUGCUGGCCUGUGGUCGGCUCCUCUCAAAUGGAUCAGCUUGCCAGUGUUUGGUGGCAUCACAGGUGUGAUAACUAUCUGCGCUUGUGGUUUUCCAUCAGAUAACCUUCAGUGAUGGAGGAUCGCUGGAGCUCAUAAACGUCUCCCCUAAGCGGGGACAGCCCUUUGAAUGUUUGAUCUCAAAUCAGGUAGGACUACCCGCUGAACUUAAGCAUAUCAAUAAGCGGAGGA
rnacentral:misc_RNA from 1 species